UCACGUGCCUCGCACAUGUUUGCAAAUGCAAUAGGAUGAAUUCAUAACUUCACUUUCAUUUUCUUGAUCACGCUGCCACUCUUGGGUUCUUCGCUCUCCACUGUCAGACCAGUCUUGCCAAGUCACACACAGCCUGGAUCUUGGCAUGGCAGUGCGGGUCAUUCAAGGACAGCCCAGAAUAGGAAAAACAGCCUGGACAGAGCCUGCAGCAAAGUACUAAAAGUGGCAGGGAUCCAGCAUACAGAGAGUCAUGGAAUACACACACCUCAGAUCUCGUGGAGCUUAGUGAGCAAAUGAUUUACCAGUGACAGCGUCAUGUUAAGAACUGACAAGCAUCUUCGCUGUUACUCUCAUCCCUCCCACCCCUGUGUGUUCUCCGGAUUGAUGCCAUCUGAGGUUGCAGGCCCAGGCCGCCGAAGCUGCAAAUGUACCCAGCAGCACACGUCACUAAUAGGGGAGUGCAGAGCUCCCAAAAUAGCCCAAACAGCAAUUGGUGAAAGAGGGCCCAAGUGGUAGUUACCAAGGACCAAAGGACCAAUUCUGACAACAAAAUGAAGCUUUCUGAACACCACGUGAACAGCCAUCAUUUAAUGAGACACCAAACGCUAAUGUUUGAUUUGUCAUGCAUUUCAGCACUUCUUCAGACAGCCAUAGAGAGUUCCUAAUAUUUUAUUUUGGAACAAUUAAUUUUAAUGGAUUUUAUUCUUUUACACAUCUCGUAAUAACUAGGGACUUGAGAUGUGGGAAAUGGAUAUACAACAUAUAACACCACACAAUUGCUAUACAGCUGAAAGACAUGAAAGGAUGUGAGUCAUUUGCUAGAGGUUGUCCUACCAAUCUGCUUAUCAUAAAGCCUCCCAACGCAAUAUUCACAUCUAUUGCAUGAUCUGCUUUGGCUAACCGAACUAAUACUAUCUUCUUGACAGUCUACUUAAAUUGUAUGAAGAUCAUCCAAAAUCCUAAUCCAGGUCACAAAUCAUUCACAAUCAUUGCUGAAUAACAAAAACAAGUCAUGUCACUUGUGAAUCUGUUGUUUUGUCCCCUGGGACAUGUUAUAUGAGAAGAUACAACAUUCGAGCACUGCAGAUAAUGUUGAGAAUUAAUUAAAAGUAACUGUAAACAAAGGUAACAACUCGAGCCAUUUCACAACCAGCCAGCCUGUAACUUCAUCUUCAGAUGCUUGCAUAAUUAUGGGGUGUUGUUGCAUAAGGGGUAAAGAAACAUGCAGGGUUUAAUUAAAAGCAGCUAACAAAGGCAACAUUCAGGAGUUUUCUUGUUUCACAGCACAGACUGCAAUUCCUAGAAUUUCAGCAAGUAUCCCAUUGUGGAAAAGCCUGGUUUAUGAAGCGCUGCACUGGUUUGGAAGUGAAAUAAAGGCACACAGAUUGAGCAAACCUUGUACCCUUUUAUGUAUGGCCAAGCCUUUAACUCUUGGGGACCAGAGGCCGUGAACUACAGAACUUUCACAAUUGUUCUGUUAGAUCACAAUAAAUUAAUUAGAAAAUUAUAAAACUCAUUCAAGGGUUAUUUUACAGUUAGAAAAAGUUGAUUGAACUGCAGUUUGAUUUGUAGAUAUGCAGAUGCAUAACAACAAACUCCAAAUAUGCUGACAGAAAACAGUUUUGUGUUUAGUUUGCUCUUGCAAUUCAAAGGUUCUUCACAAAGAUGACUUGAAAACAGAUCUGCUGGGAUCUCACCCAAAACGACCCCAUUUCAUCCUCUCCCUAAAUGUGUUACUUGUAAGGUAAUUAAAUCAUUACUGUUGGGUUCCUUGUAUUAGUUCUUCACUGCACCCAGGGUGGGAUAAACACGAGGCAACUGCACAUGUAUAACAGAUGGAAACACAAACACAUAUUUCACGCAAAAUUCAUAAUUGUCAGUUCACACAACAAGAAGCCAAAGAAAAAGGGAGGGAAAGAGAGAGAGAAGGAGUUAUUGCAGUCACAAUGUCUCUGGGCUGGCCGAGGCAGAGACUGCUCCUUCACUCAGCUUUUAAAAUGUAGAUUCCACUUAAUAUUGCAUGUGGGAUAAUCUGAUUCAGUUAAUAUUUUCAUUAAACAAUAGGUUUCUUUGUUUCUGUUACUUACAACCUGGAAGAGAAUGUAAGAGGUCUCUGCUCUGCUACGUUCAAGACACUUCUGUGCAAGAGAUAUGACCUAGGGACAUUUUGGGGAAUGCCGACUCCAUACAAUACUUCCAAAUCAAAACUCAAGCACACUUUUACAUAAUACAUUUAUUUACUGUGCAGACAAUCCUUAAUUUACAUCACAAGUUCGUCAAAGAAAUCACAAAUUGCUCCUGCAUGCUGCACGUCAAGUCAGACUAAACAUGUUCGUCAUGUCCUGGUUUUGCAAACUGGACCAGUGGAAGGAUUACUAUGUGAUUUUAUUGAAUCACUGGACAUACAAUUUGUUCAGAUUUGAAGAAGCAACAGGUUCUAAUCUGAUCACAACUGUGACUCUUAUGCAUAAGGCAUUCCUUUAACACUCACCACUCACAGAGAUUAGAAAGCAUCCAAUCUGUCAUAUAUGUAUAGAUCUUUAAAAUAAUGGCAGACAUAAGGGGCUUCUUCUUGACUUCGGAAUUUAAAAUCAAGUAAUUCAUUCUACAUAGAUUUUUGAUUAAGGUACCUGAAAAGAAUAGGAUUAAGUUAAUAUCCAAUUUGCAGCUAAAACUCAGACAUAUACAUAUAUACAACAUAUACAACUUCCCAAAUCUAGGUGGCUGCAUACAUUCACUGCAUUUUGAGCAACUCAGCAAAGUCCUUGAACACAACUAAAUCAUUCAUUCAGAUCCUCACCCAUGUUCAUUAAAAUUUAAAAUGUGCAACUCUCACAUUUUGCUAGUAGAGUAUAACUACUUUAUUCACUUGAAUACUUAAUUAUGUAUGUGUGUGCAUCUGUGUGUCCCAUGUUGCUUCGACUGGCUCUUUAUCAGUAUGACUGACAUAAUGUUUUGUACACAGUAGCACACAUUUCAUAUUCAUACAUUCAUUUGGUGUUGUGGACCUUUUGGCUUCCUACAAAGAUGCAAUUAUUUAAUAUUAAUCAAUGCUAAGGUUGUAAAGGAGAGUGUUCAUGCUGACAAACUGCUUUCGGUGACUGAACAGUCCAGUGUCUGCUUACUUACUUACUGGGUUAGCAGUGUUCAUACAGUAAUAAAACAGAUUAUGACAGAGAUUAUUACAUUAUUUAACACAUUUGUUGAACUAACUUUAUUAUGGAAGGCACAAUAAACAUGUUCAUCAAAAUUAUACCAAUAAAUGACAAUAAAUAUCAUUCACAUAUUUGUUUUUCCCUGUAUCCAUACAUCCAUUUUCUAUACAGCUUAUCCGUCAGGGUCACGGGCGGCCGCGGGGUUCACUCUGGACUGGUCGCCAGUCAG